rnacentral:misc_RNA from 1 species
AUUACACCAAAAAAAACAUAUACAACUCGGGGAGACCUAUGUAUAUAUAUAUAUGUAGGCCUUUCCCACAUACACAGCAAAGUUUUGUACUCAAAAUUUGCAGUAAAAAAAAGGCCGAUCGACGUUAUAACGCACCGCCUAUACAAAAGCAAAAAUGUCCGUUUAUACAAAAAAUAUACGGCGUUUCGGUUUUUGGCGGGGUGGGUGCGUGUGUGGAUAACGGCUCACAUAACGUGUCGCGAUGGAUGACUUGGCUUCCUAUUUCGUUGAAGAACGCAGUA